rnacentral:misc_RNA from 1 species
AGUGGCGAGGGUGGAGACGGCCAUGCCUAUUCCCAUGCGGUGGAGGAAGGAGAUUCCUCGGUUUAGGCCGGUGGCGCGGCGGGCGAGGGGGAUGAGGAGGCGGUCGUAGAGGGUGAUGGUGGAGAGCAUGGCGAGCAUGGUGAAGACGGUCAUCGAGCCUGGGGGGAUGAGGAAUGUGGAGGAGGGAACAAUGCGGCGGUUCAUGGUGCGAGCUUGUUGGAGAGAGAAUGUGCCCUGUUGGGCGGCGGCGGUGAUGACUAGGAUGCCGGCGGACCAUAUGGGCCCCAUUCGGAUGAUGGACUUGAG